rnacentral:rRNA from 1 species
AACGAACGCUGGCGGCAGGCUUAACACAUGCAAGUCGAGCGCCCCGCCAGGGGAGCGGCGGACGGGUGGGUAGCGCGUGGGGACGUACCUAUUGGUUCGGCACAACUUCGGGAUACUGGAGCUAAUACCGGAUAAGCCCUAACGGGGAAAGGUGUAUCGCCUACAGUUCGGGCCGCGUCUGAUUCGCGCGUUGGUGGGGUAACGGCGCACCAAGGCGACGAUCAGUAGCUGGUAUGAGAGGAGGAUCAGCCACACUGGGCCUGAGACACGGCCGAGAAUCCUAGGGGAGGGGGCAGAGGGGGAUACUGGACAAGGGGGGCAGGCCUGAUCCAGCCAGGCCGCGUGAGUGAUGAAGGCGUUAGGGUAGUGAAGCACUUUUGUCCGGGGAGAUACUGACGGUACCGGAAGAAUAAGCCCCGGCUAACUUCGUG